rnacentral:rRNA from 1 species
UCUCGGGGUUAUUGGGCGUAAAGAGCUCGUAGGCGGCUUGUCGCGUCGGUUGUGAAAGCCCGGGGCUUAACCCCGGGUCUGCAGUCGAUACGGGCAGGCUAGAGUUCGGUAGGGGAGAUCGGAAUUCCUGGUGUAGCGGUGAAAUGCGCAGAUAUCAGGAGGAACACCGGUGGCGAAGGCGGAUCUCUGGGCCGAUACUGACGCUGAGGAGCGAAAGCGUGGGGAGCGAACAGGAUUAGAUACCCUGGUAGUCCACGCCGUAAACGGUGGGCACUAGGUGUGGGCGACAUUCCACGUCGUCCGUGCCGCAGCUAACGCAUUAAGUGCCCCGCCUGGGGAGUACGGCCGCAAGGCUAAAACUCAAAGGAAAUUGACGGA